AUUGAACGCUGGCGGCAUGCUUUACACAUGCAAGUCGAACGGCAGGCACAGGGAGCUUGCUCCUAGGUGGCGAGUGGCGCACGGGUGAGUAAUACAUCGGAACGUGUCCUAUUGUGGGGGAUAACUGCUCGAAAGGGUGGCUAAUACCGCAUAAGACCUGAGGGUGAAAGCGGGGGAUCGCAAGACCUCGCGCAAUUGGAGCGGCCGAUGCCCGAUUAGCUAGUUGGUGGGGUAAUAGCCUACCAAGGCGACGAUCGGUAGCUGGUCUGAGAGGACGACCAGCCACACUGGGACUGAGACACGGCCCAG
rnacentral:rRNA from 1 species